rnacentral:rRNA from 1 species
GGAUCAUUACCGAGUGAGGGCCCUCUGGGUCCAACCUCCCACCCGUGUCUAUCGUACCUUGUUGCUUCGGCGGGCCCGCCGUUUCGACGGCCGCCGGGGAGGCCUCGCGCCCCCGGGCCCGCGCCCGCCGAAGACCCCAACAUGAACGCUGUUCUGAAAGUAUGCAGUCUGAGUUGAUUAUCAUAAUCAGUUAAAACUUUCAACAACGGAUCUCUUGGUUCCGGCAUCGAUGAAGAACGCAGCGAAAUGCGAUAAGUAAUGUGAAUUGCAGAAUUCAGUGAAUCAUCGAGUCUUUGAACGCACAUUGCGCCCCCUGGUAUUCCGGGGGGCAUGCCUGUCCGAGCGUCAUUGCUGCCCUCAAGCACGGCUUGUGUGUUGGGCCCCGUCCCCUCCCCCGGGGACGGGCCCGAAAGGCAGCGGCGGCACCGCGUCCGAUCCUCGAGCGUAUGGGGCUUUGUCACCCGCUCUGUAGGCCCGGCCGGCGCCAGCCGACACCCAACUUUUAUUUCUAAGGUUGACCUCGGAUCAGGUAGGGAUACCCGCUGAACUUAAGCAUAU